AUUGAACGCUGGCGGCAUGCUUUACACAUGCAAGUCGAACGGCAGCGGGGGCUUCGGCCUGCCGGCGAGUGGCGAACGGGUGAGUAAUGCAUCGGAACGUGCCCAUGUCGUGGGGGAUAACGUAGCGAACGCUACGCUAAUACCGCAUACGCCCUGAGUGGGAAAGCGGGGGAUUCUUCGGAACCUCGCGCGAUUGGAGCGGCCGAUGUCGGAUUAGCUAGUAGGUGAGGUAAAGGCUCACCUAGGCGACGAUCCGUAGCGGGUCUGAGAGGAUGGUCCGCCACACUGGGAAUGAGACACGGCCCAGACUCCUACGGGAGGCAGCAGUGGGGAAUUUUGGACAAUGGGCGCAAGCCUGAUCCAGCCAUGCCGCGUGAGUGAAGAAGGCCUUCGGGUUGUAAAGCUCUUUCGGCCGGGAAGAAAUCGUGGUCUCUAACAUAGGCCAUGGAUGACGGUACCGGACUAAGAAGCACCGGCUAACUACGUGCCAGCAGCCGCCGUAAAAC
rnacentral:rRNA from 1 species